rnacentral:misc_RNA from 1 species
UUUCCGUAGGUGAACCUGCGGAAGGAUCAUUACUGAGUGAGGGCCCUCUGGGUCCAACCUCCCACCCGUGUUUAUUGUACCUUGUUGCUUCGGUGAGCCCGCCUCACGGCCGCCGGGGGGCAUCUGCCCCCGGCCCCGCGCUCGCCGAAGCCACCCUUGAACUCUGUCUGAAGUUUGCAGUCUGAGCGAAAACUAAAUAAGUUAAAACUUUCAACAACGGAUCUCUUGGUUCCG